rnacentral:rRNA from 1 species
CGCAUCUGUGCAUGCAGCAUAUCAAUAAGCGGAGGAAAAGAAACUAACAAGGAUUCCCUUAGUAACGGCGAGUGAAGCGGGAAGAGCUCAAAUUUGAAAUCUUCAAGGUCUUACCUUGACGAAUUGUAGUUUAAAGAAGUGUUUUCUGCUGAAGUUUUGGUAAAAGUUCUUUGGAAUAGGACAUCAUAGAGGGUGAGAAUCCCGUAUUUGACCAUUAUUUUCAGCUUUGUGAUACACUUUCAAAGAGUCGGAUUGUUUGGGAAUGCAGUCCAAAAUGGGUGGUAAAUUUCAUCUAAAGCUAAAUAUUGGCGAGAGACCGAUAGCGAACAAGUACCGUGAGGAAAGAUGAAAAGAACUUUGAAAAGAGAGUUAAACAGUACGUGAAAUUGUCAAAAGGGAAGCGUUUGACACCAGUGUUGUUUUCUCGAAAAUCAAUUAAAAAUGGCUCGAUUUGUAUUGCUGAGACCUUAAAAGCUCACUGUACAUUUUUCGUGUCUUUUUUAAUGCACUUUUCGUUUAACAAGUCAACAUCAGUUUCUUUUGUUGUAAAAGGGUCAUUGGAAGGUGGCUUUCUUUUCGGAGAAAGUGUUUAUAGCCUUUGGCCUCUGCAAUCGAAGAGACUGAGGUCUGCAGCGUAGACUCUUCGGGGUUAGAUACAUUUGUGCUAAGUUAUAGCUUUUUAUAGACAACUUGUUGACUAUAAUUAGUCUUGUAGCUUACUCGCUUAUGCUAUUUUACCUACGCUUAGGAUGUUGUACGCAUGAGAUAUACGC